GACGAACGCUGGCGGCGUGCUUAACACAUGCAAGUCGAACGGAAAGGCCCUGCUUUUGUGGGGUGCUCGAGUGGCGAACGGGUGAGUAACACGUGAGUAACCUGCCCUUGACUUUGGGAUAACUUCAGGAAACUGGGGCUAAUACCGGAUAGGAGCUCCUGCUGCAUGGUGGGGGUUGGAAAGUUUCGGCGGUUGGGGAUGGACUCGCGGCUUAUCAGCUUGUUGGUGGGGUAGUGGCUUACCAAGGCUUUGACGGGUAGCCGGCCUGAGAGGGUGACCGGACACAUUGGGACUGAGAUACGGACCAGACUCCUACGGGAGGCAGCAGUGGGGAAUAUUGCACAAUGGGCGGAAGCCUGAUGCAGCAACGCUGCGUGCGGGAUGACGGCCUACGGGUUGUAAACCGCUUUCGCCUGUGACGAAGCGUGAGUGACGGUAAUGGGUAAAGAAGCACCGGCUAACUACGUG
rnacentral:rRNA from 1 species